GACGAACGCUGGCGGCGUGCUUAACACAUGCAAGUCGAACGGAAAGGCCCUGCUUUUGUGGGGUGCUCGAGUGGCGAACGGGUGAGUAACACGUGAGUAACCUGCCCUUGACUUUGGGAUAACUUCAGGAAACUGGGGCUAAUACCGGAUAGGAGCUCCUGCUGCAUGGUGGGGGUUGGAAAGUUUCGGCGGUUGGGGAUGGACUCGCGGCUUAUCAGCUUGUUGGUGGGGUAGUGGCUUACCAAGGCUUUGACGGGUAGCCGGCCUGAGAGGGUGACCGGCCACAUUGGGACUGAGAUACGGCCCAGACUCCUACGGGAGGCAGCAGUGGGGAAUAUUGCACAAUGGGCGGAAGCCUGAUGCAGCAACGCCGCGUGCGGGAUGACGGCCUUCGGGUUGUAAACCGCUUUCGCCUGUGACGAAGCGUGAGUGACGGUAAUGGGUAAAGAAGCACCGGCUAACUACGUGCCAGCAGCCGCGGUGAUACGUAGGGUGCGAGCGUUGUCCGGAUUUAUUGGGCGUAAAGGGCUCGUAGGUGGUUGAUCGCGUCGGAAGUGUAAUCUUGGGGCUUAACCCUGAGCGUGCUUUCGAUACGGGUUGACUUGAGGAAGGUAGGGGAGAAUGGAAUUCCUGGUGGAGCGGUGGAAUGCGCAGAUAUCAGGAGGAACACCAGUGGCGAAGGCGGUUCUCUGGGCCUUUCCUGACGCUGAGGAGCGAAAGCGUGGGGAGCGAACAGGCUUAGAUACCCUGGUAGUCCACGCUGUAAACGGUGGGUACUAGGUGUGGGGUCCAUUCCACGGGUUCCGUGCCGUAGCUAACGCUUUAAGUACCCCGCCUGGGGAGUACGGCCGCAAGGCUAAAACUCAAAGGAAUUGACGGGGCCCCGCACAAGCGGCGGAGCAUGCGGAUUAAUUCGAUGCAACGCGUAGAACCUUACCUGGGUUUGACAUGGAUCGGGAGCGCUCAGAGAUGGGUGUGCCUCUUUUGGGGUCGGUUCACAGGUGGUGCAUGGCUGUCGUCAGCUCGUGUCGUGAGAUGUUGGGUUAAGUCCCGCAACGAGCGCAACCCUUGUUCACUGUUGCCAGCACGUUAUGGUGGGGACUCAGUGGAGACCGCCGGGGUCAACUCGGAGGAAGGUGGGGAUGACGUCAAGUCAUCAUGCCCCUUAUGUCCAGGGCUUCACGCAUGCUACAAUGGCUGGUACAGAGGGUGGCGAGCCUGUGAGGGUGAGCGAAUCUCGGAAAGCCGGUCUCAGUUCGGAUUGGGGUCUGCAACUCGACCUCAUGAAGUCGGAGUCGCUAGUAAUCGCAGAUCAGCAACGCUGCGGUGAAUACGUUCCCGGGGCU
rnacentral:rRNA from 1 species